CUAAAAAUCAAAGCACAUAGAGCAAACAUGAGAGUACACUGUAUAGGAAUAGCUGAUGUGGACAAAUCACUCACCCAUGGUACAGGCACUGAAGGGAAUUCUCUUAUAUCAUGUAUUCUCUUAUAUUAUGAACUGCUAUUAAGACACCUUAGAUACGGGGAAUUCUGUGUUAUAGUUUCUGUUUGUGUGUCUCUGUGCUAUCAAAUACCUAUGAUGAAUGUAUUCACUUAAUUACCUCUUCUGAAUAAGCUGAUCAACUGCUAUCCUUUAUUAUAGCUGACACAUGUGUUCUCUAUAUCUUGAAAAGACUUAUUAUUGUAGUGUGCUGUGUGUUUUGUCUACAUCCUUCUAGCACCUGCACAAGUAGAAACCCGCCCACGCAAUGUUGUUAUCUAUGUGUAUAAAUACUUCUGUUCUAGACUACAUAAACUGGAAGUCUCUGUGAACAGCAUGUGUGUCAGUGUGUAUGUUCAUUUAGACUCUCCAGGCACCUGGAUACUCUGUGGUAAACCGCACUUCCUAGCUCAUAGCAGCACAGAAAUAAGAGUUAAGAGAAAUAAAAGGCUGUAAGGCUGACCGAGGACUGAAAGACAUAAUUCAGACACAGUGGGAGAAUGUAAAACUCGUCCUUGGUAGAAGGCAUCGAGGGUAAGUAAAGAUUAAGCAAAAUGGUAGAGAACAUAUAGGCAAAUAGUGACGUUCACUGGAGGGAAAAGUAAACCAAGAGAAACACAAUGGUUCAUCUACAGAUGCAUUAAUUGGAAAAACUUGGGGCCUGUUAGAAGUAAUGGGAAAUGAUGUAACUAGGUUAUGUGUGGAAGAUUGUGAUUGGAUGCACCCAAAAGGGAACUGUGAAUGAUUGGUUAAAGUUAGAUAUGGUGCCAUGCCUGAAAUGUAUAUAAAGAGCAUUGUAACCGACGGUGCUUUGCUGCAAGCUACAUCUCCAUGUAGUGUGUAUCCCUGGGACCAGUUCGGGUUAUUUUCUGUCUUGCUGAUAAACCUUCUUCAUCCGAAUCCAGUCUUCGUGAGUUCUGCUGUGUUAUUUCUCCUAAGAAGAAGUCAGGGUACACUCUCCCACACACAGAGGAAGCCACACUAAAGUUAGGCAUUACAUGAAGUGCUACAACACACACGCACACACAGGAUCAAAUAUAAGGAAUAGAUGUUUAUCAUAAAUAAUGAUAAGAAGAAGACAAUAGCAAUGAUUGCAGAAAGCAAGUCAAAUGUAUGCACUCACCCAUAGUGAACAGGAACGGGAGAUUGAAGAAAAAAGUCAAGGUCUUCACGCGUUGAUGACCAAAAUGAUCAUGCCUUAGGGAGCCGAUGAGGUUUUUAUAACAGGGAAAAUGAAAACAGACGAACAUAAGGGAACGGGGGAAAAACUUAAAAGAGAAACGUAACGGGCAUGAGAAAAAAACUGAAACAUAAACAUAUUGCGCUGGGAAAAACAGCAGCGCCUCCGGGCCCAUUUAGUUGCCGAAUGGGGGGGGGGGGGGGGGUUACUUUAUAUGUGAACAUCAUUUACAGUAUUGUGCAAAAGUUUUAGGCACCCUACUUUUUUUUUUUUAGCACAAACUUUGUUAUGGAUUUUUUUUUAUCUUAUGACUUCUACAUUAUCGAGUCAGUACAAAAACAUUUGAGAUUUCCAAACAUUAGUUUUCCAGCACAAAAUGAAAUGUUAGUAAAUGGUCUGCGCUUAUAUAGCGCUCUUUUUUUAACCUUAGCAGUUCCAAAGCGCUUUACACUGGUUCUCAUUUACCCAUUCACACACCAAUGGUAGCAGAUGUGCCAUGCAAGGCGCUAGCUUCAGCGUCUUGCCCAAGGACACUUCGGCAUGUGGAGUCGUGUGGGGUGGGAAUCGAACCGCCAACCCUACGGUUAGCAGGUUGAAUAGCGGACCCUACGGUUAGCAAGUUGAUUAGCGGAGCCUACGGUUAGCAGGUUGAUUAGCAGAGCCUACGGUUAGCAGGUUGAUUGACCCGCUCUACCACCUGAGCCACAGCCACCCUAUGUUACCGAAAAAUGUUUUUAUGUAAGUAAUGAAAGCAGUAUAUUACAUAAGAGACCACUUUUCAGACAAAAAACACAAUGAAGGCUGCUGGGUUUUGCUGCAAAAAUAAGAAGCGAGUGCGACAGUCAAAGUCUCCAGAAGAACCGUGUCUGGAUCUGCAAAAUGCUCAAUAAAACUUAACAGCUUAUUUCCUUAUAAAACUACACAAACUGUACCAGACUAUUUCAUUUUUUCAUUUACUACUGUUUACGGUAUUUUUUUAAAAAUGUAGAAACAUUUAAUUUCAAAGCAUUGUCAAAACAUUUAAAGGCAUCUUUGCAGCAUUCCUUUGCAUGUACCUAAAACUUUUGCACAGUACUGUAAGCUUUUAACAUGUUGGAUGUGGGAACACUCAUUACUACUUAAUGUACAAUCUGUAUUUUUAGAGAAUGUCCAUAUUAUUGUCUGCCUCUUUUGUUGUAGGAACUUAUGUUAAUCAGCCUUAUCCUCUAUGCUGCGUGUUUAUGAAGUGAUCGUGACCCAGAUGCCAUGGCAAAAAGAUACAUUAACAUCAUACACAGAGUAUCCACUACAUUAUACAUUGCAUUGCUGAGGAUUGUCAAAAGAGACCCAGAGAUAGUAGCAGUAGUAGAAAUAGCA
ensembl:lncRNA